rnacentral:lncRNA from 1 species
AUUGUUGGACCCCACUCCAGAUCUUCUGAAUUCAAAACUCUGGGAGUGGAAACCAGCAUUGUGUAGUUCAACAAGCCCUCCAGGUGAUUCUGACACAUGCUAAAGGUUGAGAACCUUGAGAACCACUGGCUAGAAAACUCUGAUAUGAUGUUUGUUAAUGGCUCAUAUCUUGAGAAUAAGCAAAGCAUAUUUUGUGCUGGAUAUGCCAUAAGUUCUGACAAUUCUGCUAUUAUAGCUGUUCCUUUAUCAAUAGCUCACUCCAUUCAAAUAGCUGAAUGACAGUUACAUCACCAGCAUGUAACCUUGUUAAACACUUGAGUGCACAUCUAUACAAAUAGAUGUAUCUUUGGAGUUGCUCAUGAUUUUUUAGUACAUUAUGAAAACAAACAGGUUUUCUAAUCUCUUCAGGUACCCCAACUAAAAUGAAAAAAUAGUAAUUUAUUAGAAGCACUAUAACAUCCAAAUGAAGUAUGGAUUAGAAAGAGAGAAACUCAUUCUGAAGGUAACACUUUUAAAGCAAAAGAGAAUUUCUUUUUUUUUUUUUUUUUUUUUUUUUCAGGCUUCAUUCACUUUAUUUUUCUUGUAUAAAAACCCUAUGUUGUAGCCACAGCUGGAGCCUGGGUCCGCUGCACGGAGACUCUGGUGUGGGUCUUGACAAGGUGGUCAGUGAAUUCCUGAUAGGGAGACUUGGUAAACACAGUCUCCUUCCAGCGGUCAGGGGUCAGGUAGCUGUAGGUCUUAGAGAUGGCAUCGAAGGUGGCCUUGGCGAAGUUGCCCAGGGUGGCAGUGCAGCCCCGGGCUGAGGUGUAGCAGUCAUCAAUACCAGCCAUCAUGAGCAGCUUCUUGGGCACAGGCGCUGAGACGAUGCCAGUGCCCCUGGGUGCAGGGAUGAGGCGCACGAGCACAGAGCCGCAGCGGCCUGUCACCUUGCAAGGGACGGUGUGGGGCUUGCCGAUCUUGUUCCCCCAGUAGCCUCUGCGCACCGGGACAAUGGAGAGUUUGGCCAGGAUGAUGGCCCCACGGAUGGCAGUGGCCACCUCCUUGGAGCACUUAACACCCAGGCCUACGUGGCCAUUGUAGUCCCCGAUAGCAACAAACGCCUUAAACCUGGUGCGCUGGCCAGCACAGGUCUGCUUCUGCACCGGCAUAAUCUUCAAAACCUCGUCUUUGAGAGAAGCCCCCAAGAAAAAGUCAAUGAUCUCAGAUUCCUCCUUAUCCUCGGCCUUGCCUCAGCAAGCUCCGCGGCCUCGGCCCCGGCCCCGUCCACGGCCGCGACCCCGGCCCCGGAUGCCACUGCCGAAACCUCCGCGGAAGCCACCGCGGUUCCCCAUCCCAGGGCCACCAGGGCCUCCGGGCCCCCCCGCUGCACCGGCGUCAUCCGCCAUUUGGUGUUCUCUCGGAAAAGAAGGCAAAAGAGAAUUUCUGACUACUAUGUAAAACAAGUAGUCCUUUCUGUUCUUGCUACAGUAGAUAUUCUAAAGACACUUACUCAAUCUGACUUAAUGAAUUCUGA